AUUGAACGCUGGCGGCAGGCCUAACACAUGCAAGUCGAACGAGUGGCGGACGGGUGAGUAAUUUCUGGGAAACUGCCUGAUGGAGGGGGAUAACUACUGGAAACGGUAGCUAAUACCGCAUACCAUCAGCUGUGCCCAGAUGGGAUUAGCUUGUUGGUGGGGUACCGGCUCACCAAGGCGACGAUCCCUAGCUGGUCUGAGAGGAUGAUCAGUCACACUGGAACUGAGACGCGGUCCAGACUCCUAAGGGCGGCAGCAGUGGGGAAUAUUGGACAAUUGGCGACAGCCUGAUCCAGCCCUGCCGCGUGGGUGAAGAAGGUCUUCGGAUUGUAAAGCACUUUAAGUUGGGCGGCGUUACCAACAGAAUAAGCACCGGCUAACUUCGUGCCAGCAGCCGCGGUAAUAC
rnacentral:rRNA from 1 species